rnacentral:rRNA from 1 species
GAUGAACGCUGGCGGCGUGCUUAAUACAUGCAAGUCGAGCGAACGGACGAGAAGCUUGCUUCUCUGAUGUUAGCGGCGGACGGGUGAGUAACACGUGGAAAACCCACCUAUAAGACUGGGAUAACUUCGGGAAACCGGCGCUAAUACCGGAUAAUAUUUUGAACCGCAUUGUUCAAAAGUGAAAGACGGUCUUGCUGUCACUUAUAGAUGGAUCCGCGCUGUAUUAGCUAGUUGGUAGGGUAACGGCUUACCAAGGCUACGAUGCAUAUACGACGUGAGAGGGGGAUCGGCGACAUGAGAGGGGGGACAGGCACCAGACUACUGCGGGAGGGAGCAGUAGGGAAUGGGACGCAGUGGGGGAGAGCAUUACGGAGCAGGCGCGCGUGAGAGGCGGCGGUCUUGGGAUCGUGAAACUGUGUUACUAGGUAAGAACAUCUUUGUACGUAACUGAGGAGAGCGUGACGGUACCUGGUCAGAAAGCCACGGCUAACUACGUG